CAUAGAGUUGAAGCUAUUAACACUAUUGCUUCAUUUGUUGUUGAAACAAUGCAGGAUUUAUUAAAAGAGGAAAAAUGUAAUUACGAGGAAUUUGAGGAAGAAAAGGCUGUUGCUGCAGCAAAGGCGAUAUUGCAAGUUCAAACAGAAUCUGGAUAUAUUGUUGAAUU
rnacentral:rRNA from 1 species